ensembl:snRNA U6 U6 spliceosomal RNA
GUGUUCACUUCGGCAGCACAUAUACUAAAAUUGGGACUAUACAGAGGAGAUUUAGAAUGGGUCCUGUGCAAGGACGACUCGCAAAUUCACGAAGCAUUCCAUAUUUUU